UGCGAACAGGCUCUCAAGCUGAAUUGAGAGCCUGCAUCGAUGACUAGUGAAUUUGAAUAUCUGCGUCUCAAAUCGUGACGCGAAAUUCUCAUUGGUCAGAUGCUAUAAUUUAUAUGUUUCCGCUGAGCUCUAUAUAUGUCAACUGCUGAAGCACUAUGCAUAAAAACACAUUAACUGAUCAAAUUGGUCUUGGCCAUCUUAUCUCAAAGCACAAAAUGUUCUGUUUUGAGAAAACAGUAUUUAAAACAUUUGAACUUUUGCUUGAAUAUCUUAUAUUUCGAAAAACAGUAUAAACUGUACGGUCUAAAUUUAGUUUGCACGGUCUAAAUUUAGUUUGCACGAAAGUUGUCAACAACACCAUAUAAGGA